UGCGGGAUGGUGUAAUUGGCAACACAUCGGGCUUUGAACUCGAAGUUGAGGGUUCGACUCCUUCUCCCGCAGCCA
rnacentral:tRNA from 1 species